AACGAACGCUGGCGGCAGGCUUAACACAUGCAAGUUGAGCGCCCCGCAAGGGGAGCGGCAGACGGGUGAGUAACGCGUGGGAAUCUACCCAUCCCUACGGAAUAGCUCCGGGAAACUGGAAUUAAUACCGUAUACGCCCUACGGGGGAAAGAUUUAUCGGGGAUGGAUGAGCCCGCGUUGGAUUAGCUAGUUGGUGGGGUAAAGGCCUACCAAGGCGACGAUCCAUAGCUGGUCUGAGAGGAUGAUCAGCCACAUUGGGACUGAGACGCGGCCCAAACUCCUACGGGAGGCAGCAGUGGGGAAUAUUGGACAAUGGGGGCAACCCUGAUCCAGCCAUGCCGCGUGAGUGAUGAAGGCCUUAGGGUUGUAAAGCUCUUUCACCGGGGAAGAUAAUGACGGUACCCGGAGAAGAAGCCCCGGCUAACUUCGUGCCAGCAGCCGCCGUAA
rnacentral:rRNA from 1 species